AGCAGUAGCCGCGGGAAUACGGAGGGGGCUAGCGUUGUUCGGAAUUACUGGGCGUAAAGCGCACGUAGGCGGCUUGGUAAGUUAGAGGUGAAAGCCUGGAGCUCAACUCCAGAAUUGCCUUUAAGACUGCCGAGCUAGCAGGUGAGAGAGGUAAGUGGAAUUCCGAGUGUAGAGGUGAAAUUCGUAGAUAUUCGGAAGAACACCAGUGGCGAAGGCGGCUUACUGGCUCAUACUGGACGCUGAGGUGCGAAAGCGUGGGGAGCAAACAGGAUUAGAUACCCCAGUAGUCCCUGUCUCUUAUAC
rnacentral:rRNA from 1 species